rnacentral:tRNA from 1 species
GCUCCUGUGGCGCAGUAGGUAGCGCGUCGGACUGUUAAUCCGAAGGUCGCAGGUUCGAGCCCUGCCGGGAGCG